AUGAAAUCCGGUUGAUCCUGCCGGAGGCGACCGCUAUUGGAGUUCGAUUAAGCCAUGCGAGUCUAGAGGCUUAGGCCUCGGCGUACCGCUCAGUAACACGUGGAUAACCUGCCCUGUUCAGGGGGAUAACCUCGCGAAAGUGAGAAUAAUACCCCAUAGUUCACCAUGCCUGGAACGGUUGGUGGAUGAAAGCUCUGGCGGAACAGGAUGGGUCUGCGGCGUAUCAGGUAGUAGGGGGUGUAAUGGACCUCCUAGCCCUCGACGCGUACGGGUUGUGGGAGCAAUCGCCCGGAGAUGGAUUCUGAGACACGAAUCCAGACCCUACGGGGUGCAGCAGGCGCGAAAACUUGACAAUGCGAGAAAUCGUGAUCAGGGAACUCCAAUUGUCCCCGUUUUUACGGGGUUCUGAAUUGACUCUAAACAGGUCGAGUAAUAGGGGCGGGAAAUAUCGGUGCCAGCCGCCGCGGUAAUACCGAAGCCCCAAGUGGUCGUCGUUCUUAUUGGGCCUAAAACGUCCGUAGCCGGUUUGGUACAUUCGUGGGUAAAUCAGACAGCUUAACUGUCUGAAUUCUGCGAGCACGGCCAAACUUGAGACCGGGAGAGGUGUAGGGUACCUGCGGGGUAGGGGUAAAAUCCUGUCAUCCCGUAGGGACCACCAGUUGCGAAGGCUCUACACUAGAACGGAUCUGACGGUCAGGGACGAAGCCUAGGGGCACGAACCGGAUUAGAUACCCGGGUAGUCC
rnacentral:rRNA from 1 species